AGUCAAGUAAUUAAGUGCAUGUGGUGGAUGCCUUGGCAGUCAGAGGCGAUGAAAGACGUGAUAGCCUGCGAAAAGCUCCGGGGAGGCGGCAAAUAUCCUUUGAUCCGGAGAUGUCUGAAUGGGGGAACCCACCUACUUUAAGGUAGGUAUUGCAACAUGAAUACAUAGUGUUGCAAGGCGAACGAGGGGAAGUGAAACAUCUCAGUACCCUUAGGAAAAGAAAUCAAUUGAGAUUCCCUCAGUAGCGGCGAGCGAACGGGGAUCAGCCCAUUAAGUUAUGUGUGUUUUAGUGGAACGCUCUGGGAAGUGCGAACGUAGAGGGUGAUAUUCCCGUACACGAAAGGGCACACAUAAUGAUGACGAGUAGGGCGAGGCACGUGAAACCUUGUCUGAAUAUGGGGGGACCAUCCUCCAAGGCUAAAUACUCCUGACUGACCGAUAGUGAACCAGUACCGUGAGGGAAAGGCGAAAAGAACCCCUGUGAGGGGAGUGAAAUAGAUCCUGAAACCGCAUGCAUACAAGCAGUGGGAGCACCUUCGUGGUGUGACUGCGUACCUUUUGUAUAAUGGGUCAGCGACUUAUAUUCAGUAGCAAGGUUAACCGUAUAGGGGAGCCGUAGAGAAAUCGAGUCUUAAUAGGGCGUUUAGUUGCUGGGUAUAGACCCGAAACCAGGCGAUCUAUCCAUGAGCAGGUUGAAGGUUGGGUAACACUAACUGGAGGACCGAACCCACUGUCGUUGAAAAGCCAGGGGAUGACUUGUGGAUAGGGGUGAAAGGCUAAUCAAGCCUGGUGAUAGCUGGUUCUCCCCGAAAGCUAUUUAGGUAGCGCCUCGGACGAAUACCAUAGGGGGUAGAGCACUGUUUCGGCUAGGGGGUCAUCCCGACUUACCAAACCGAUGCAAACUCCGAAUACCUAUGAGUACUAUCCGGGAGACAGACUGCGGGUGCUAACGUCCGUAGUCAAGAGGAAAACAAUCCAGACCGCCAGCUAAGGCCCCAAAAUCAUAGUUAAGUGGGAAACGAUGUGGGAAGGCAUAGACAGCUAGGAGGUUGGCUUAGAAGCAGCCACCCUUUAAAGAAAGCGUAAUAGCUCACUAGUCGAGUCGGCCUGCGCGGAAGAUGUAACGGGGCUAAAACUAUGUGCCGAAGCUGCGGAUGUAUACUUUGUAUACGUGGUAGGGGAGCGUUCUGUAAGCCGAUGAAGGUGUGUUGAGAAGCAUGCUGGAGGUAUCAGAAGUGCGAAUGCUGACGUGAGUAACGACAAAACGGGUGAAAAACCCGUUCGCCGAAAGACCAAGGGUUCCAGUCCAACGUUAAUCGGGGCUGGGUGAGUCGACCCCUAAGGCGAGGCCGAAAGGCGUAGUCGAUGGGAAAAUGGUUAAUAUUCCAUUACUUCUGUGUAAUGCGAUGAGAGGACGGAGAAGGCUAAAUCAGCCUGGCGUUGGUUGUCCAGGUGAAAGGAUGUAGGCAUGUAUCUUAGGCAAAUCCGGGGUACUCUAUGCUGAGAUCUGAUAGCAAGCUGUACUUGUACAGCGAAGUGGUUGAUGCCAUGCUUCCAGGAAAAGUCUCUAAGCUUCAGUUACACAGGAAUCGUACCCGAAACCGACACAGGUGGUCAGGUCGAGUAGACCAAGGCGCUUGAGAGAACUCUGCUGAAGGAACUAGGCAAAAUGGUACCGUAACUUCGGGAGAAGGUACGCUGUUGUUGGUGAUGGAACUCGCUUCCUGAGCUGACGACAGCCGCAGAAACCAGGCCGCUGCAACUGUUUAUUAAAAACAUAGCACUCUGCAAACACGAAAGUGGACGUAUAGGGUGUGAUGCCUGCCCGGUGCUGGAAGGUUAAUUGAUGGGGUUAGCGUAAGCGAAGCUCUUGAUCGAAGCCCCAGUAAACGGCGGCCGUAACUAUAACGGUCCUAAGGUAGCGAAAUUCCUUGUCGGGUAAGUUCCGACCUGCACGAAUGGCAUAAUGAUGGCGGCGCUGUCUCCAGCAGAGGCUCAGUGAAAUCGAAAUCGCUGUGAAGAUGCAGUGUACCCGCGGCUAGACGGAAAGACCCCGUGAACCUUUACUGCAGCUUGACACUGAACUUUGACCUUACUUGUGUAGGAUAGGUGGGAGGCUUUGAAGCUGGAACGCUAGUUCCAGUGGAGCCGUCCUUGAAAUACCACCCUGGUAAUGUUGAGGUUCUAACUCUGUCCCGUGAUCCGGGACGAGGACCGUGUCUGGUGGGUAGUUUGACUGGGGCGGUCUCCUCCUAAAGAGUAACGGAGGAGUACGAAGGUGCGCUCAGCGUGGUCGGAAAUCACGCGUAGAGUAUAAAGGCAAAAGCGCGCUUAACUGCGAGACCCACAAGUCGAGCAGGUACGAAAGUAGGUCUUAGUGAUCCGGUGGUUCUGUAUGGAAGGGCCAUCGCUCAACGGAUAAAAGGUACUCUGGGGAUAACAGGCUGAUACCGCCCAAGAGUUCAUAUCGACGGCGGUGUUUGGCACCUCGAUGUCGGCUCAUCUCAUCCUGGGGCUGAAGCAGGUCCCAAGGGUAUGGCUGUUCGCCAUUUAAAGAGGUACGCGAGCUGGGUUUAGAACGUCGUGAGACAGUUCGGUCCCUAUCUACCGUGGGCGCUGGAAAUUUGAGAGGAUCUGCUCCUAGUACGAGAGGACCAGAGUGGACGAACCUCUGGUGUACCGGUUGUGACGCCAGUCGCAUCGCCGGGUAGCUAUGUUCGGAAGGGAUAACCGCUGAAAGCAUCUAAGCGGGAAGCCUACCUCAAGAUAAGAUUUCCCUAGGACUUUAUGUCCUCUAAAGAGCCGUUCGAGACUAGGACGUUG
rnacentral:rRNA from 1 species